CUCUUUCUUUUCCGCCCCCCGUUUAGAUCAGGAUUGCACGUGGAUGCCCGGGCGAGCUGCAAGUAAUUUUCUCAUAGGCGGAUGAGGCGUCUUUGCGCGGCAGCGAGACCCCGGCCGGCUUUGAAAUGCCCUUCUCCUGAGUGUGCAAGGAACCUGCAGAACUGUAAUGCCUAACCCUACAUGGAAUAACAACUCUUGGAAGAAGGAGACGGGCGCCUCCG